rnacentral:lncRNA from 1 species
AUUGUCAACGAAAAUAACAGAUAAAACAUCACUACUUAUAGGUGUGUUACCACUAUAUACAAAUUGUUAACACAAAAUAAAACCCAGUUUUACUAUUCUUGUUCUACUAUCUGUAUGUACAUGAAAUUAAGUACAACUGUUCAACAACAAAAAAGUAUAUGAACAGUUCCUUCUGAUUCAAUGGAAAAUAUAAUAAAACAUGUUAUCUUUUACAUGCAUGUAAUAAAAAUACAUGUUAUCCCACUUUAUGAAAACCUAAUAGCUACUGGACAAAUAUGAAAAUCUCUUUAAAAUAAUGUAAAAGUUGUGAAAAAUUAUAUAAAUGAGUCCCUCUCUUAUAAGAAGCUCCUUGCUACAUGUACUUUUGGAAAUAAACGUACUUAAUAUAAACUUUCCUUUUACAUUAAGUUAAUUAAACAAGAAACGGUGAUUAAAAGACAUUUUUCUCUUUAUAAAAUCUUUGAGUUUUGCUUCAAAAAUUAACAAUGAUUCAUCAAAAAUACAAAAUUCCAGAAAAAAUAGAUCUUUGUAUAUUAUAUCACAUUAUUGCAAUCGUUGUUUGGAAAACCUAUAUAUGAUAUGUGUGAACGUAUAAAUUACACAGCUAAUGAUACAAAAUAAUGCAUCAAAUUGGUAUUGUUUUCCCCCGAGUAGGGAUUUUCUCUUUUUCACUCUAUAAAAUGACUGAAAUUCGUUUAUAAAAUAUUCUAAUUUAAUAUUUAUCAACAUGAAAAAAGCUUUUGAUUCCGAAUAAAAAAAGGUACUGCUCUUUAGCUUCUAUUCAAGUAUGAUAUACUGAUAUUCAAAUAUGAUAUUGAUAUUAUUUUUACUCAGUGGCGGAUCCAGGGGGUUGGCCGAUCAAUGCAUUUGAAUGGGAGCAUAUAGUUGGAAACCCCCCCUUUUACUCUGGGUUGGGAACCCCCCUUUUUAAAAUGGCUGGAUCCGCCACUGUUCAGCUUUCAGUGACAAAUAUUUAAUGCACAUUAAUGACUGUUUCUUAUUAGAUCAAAAUUGGACGCACUAUAGAGUAAUAUCUGUUCUAUGGUUAUCAUUCAAAUUCAAAUAGUCUUUGACAGUUGCAUAUUACUGUAUAAAUAGAUCGAAGUUAUUUUUGUAAUGUAACUACAUUUAUCUUUUUAAUGAAAUAUGUUUUAUGCCCAAUAUAAUUAUAUGUAGUUUUGAUAAACAUGUAUAUUUAACAUAAAAAAAACCCAACAUUCUUCUAACAUACACAUUGAUUUUCCCCCAUCACAUUGACCUAGAGUUACAUUGUAGUCACUGCCUUUCUGAAUAAAAAUCGAAAUGCAUUUCAGUGCAAAAAACUUUCCAAUACUCUACCAUACAAUCCAUUUCGUAACACAAAUCGCCCAUCGAUAAAACUCAACAAAAAAAUGUCAGUUUCUCUGCUUCCAUAAUAAUUAAUUUUGUGUGAAUUUAUCCAAUUUUAAUACUAGACUCGCCGUGCCACGGUGAAUUGAUUAAAUAUAUCUUUUCAGCUAAAAAACUCCUCCAUUUGGUUAUGUAAAUAUUUAAAGUUUAAUUCAUUUUGAAGAGGACAAAAGGUUUUUUGUGUAAUUUUCUGAUAUUUUCGAUCACAAUUAGAACUAUCAAUUAAAAAAGGAGAUAGAAUUUUAAAAUACAUCACUGACACAUGUGCACUGAGUGUAGAUGGGGUCAAAGUUUGUCUGAGUUCAUAAAUCGUUUUCAAAAUAAUUGUAUUGUAUUAUUUAAAAGAUGACAUAACACAUCUUACCACAAAAAUUUUAAAACAUAAAACCAAAUGAAUGAAAUUUUCUCUAAAUUUCUGAUAUAUACCCCAAUCGAAUAAUAAUAAUUAAUAAAUGAAAUUUUAAUAAAUCCCAAGAAUCAAGAUAAUUGUACAAAUGUUACUGUAAGCCCUUUUCUAUUAUCUUACUCAAUAUCAAAAAGAGUUAUGAUCUUGAAAAAUAUAAAUUAAUGAAAUUUUAACAAUUACAAAGCAACAUGCAAUAUAAUACAUGUUAUAUAAUCACAAUACUUAUACAUGUAUGAUGUAUAUUUCUAAAUGCUAAAUGGACAGCACCAAAGAAGUAAAUUACAUAUGUAGGCUAAUGUGAUUGGUUGUGCAGUAGCAAACACUACAGUAGCUGGUGUUUAUUUAUUGAAUACACCUGUAUCCCUUUUAAUUAACUUAUUUUUCCUAGCAAAAUCAUAUUAAGACAUUUUUUCCCAAACAGAAACAUCCAAGUAAUAAUCAAUUGUGCUUUCUAAUUUUUCUGCACAAAAUGGUUGUGAAAUUAAUUUCACUAAGUAUUUUAUCAGUGAAAAAGGAGUAUUUGUAAAUUUACCUUCAAGUUUUGAGUAUUAUAUACGAAUUAAUUACGAACAAUAAUUAAAAAAUAAUCAAUAAGAACACGAUAAAUAUCAUAUUUUUCGACAGAAUGAAAUGUUUAAAAAUUCUUUGGUCACUGUUUAUAAUGAAAGUCAGCGUUUGUGUACCAGUAUUUAAUUAACAAACCAAAGUCCAAUAGUGGUCUGUUUGACCUCUUAAAAUCUUUUUGCAAACACGACGUGCAAACAUCCGUUUUGUAAUUAAUUUACAAAAGGAUAACAUUGAAUUCAAUAUUAGUUAU